AUUCAAACUCAUGUGAUUUCAAAUUUCUAAGAGCAAACGGUGGAUGCCUUGGCAUCUGGAGCCGAAGAAGGACGUAGUAAUCUGCGAUAAGCCUCGGGGAGCUGAUAAACGAGCUUUGAUCCGAGGAUGUCCGAAUGGGGAAACCCCGCUGGGCCCGCAAGGUGACCCAGUGACUCCCGCCUGAAUAUAUAGGGCGGGUAGAGGGAACGUGGGGAACUGAAC
rnacentral:rRNA from 1 species